rnacentral:rRNA from 1 species
UACGGAGGGUGCGAGCGUUGUCCGGAAUCACUGGGCGUAAAGGGCGCGUAGGUGGCCUGUGGAAGUCUGCGGUGAAAGCCCGGCGCUCAACGCCGGGUCGGCCGUGGAUACUCUCGGACUUGAGCUUACUAGAGGCAGAUGGAAUUCCGGGUGUAGCGGUGGAAUGCGUAGAGAUCCGGAAGAACACCGGUGGCGAAGGCGGUCUGCUGGGGUAAUGCUGACACUGAGGCGCGACAGCGUGGGGAGCAAACAGG